AAGUCAAGGGGUAGCAAUACCACUGGCGCACGGGUGAGUAACGCGUAGAUAAUCUGCCCCUAUCUCCGGAAUAACAUCAAGAAAUUGGUGCUAAAAACGGAUGAGGCACAAUGUGUCAAAGGAAACGGAUAGGGAUGAGCCUGCGGCUGAUUAGCUAGUUGGUGAGGUAAUGGCUCACCAAGGCGACGAUCAGUAGCUGGUCUGAGAGGACGAACAGCCACACUGGAACUGAGACACGGUCCAGACUCCUACGGGAGGCAGCAGUGAGGAAUUUUGCACAAUGGAGGAAACUCUGAUGCAGCGACGCCGCGUGCGGGAUGAAGGGGCUUUGCCCUGUAAACCGCUGUCGGAUGGGAAAAAAAGUCCCCUCGGGGACCCGGGACGGUACUAUCAGAGGAAGGACCGGCUAACUACGUGCCAGCAGCCGCGGUAAUACGUAGGGUCCAAGCGUUAUCCGGAAUUACUGGGUAUAAAGGGUGCGCAGGCGGUUUUUCACGUCUGGGGUUAAAUAUCACGGCUCAACCGUGAAGAUGCCUCGGAAACGGGAGAACUUGAAUAUGAGAGAGGUAAGUGGAAUUCCUGGUGUAGCGGUGAAAUGCGUAGAUAUCAGGAGGAACACCAGUGGCGAAGGCGGCUUACUGGCUCAUUAUUGACGCUCAGGCACGAAAGUGUGGGUAGCAAACAGGAUUAGAUACCCUGGUAGUCCACACCCUAAACGAUGUAUGCUUGGUGUUAUGGCCGUUAGGUUGUAGUGCCGGAGAAAAUUCGUUAAGCAUACCACCUGGGGAGUACGAUCGCAAGGUUGAAACUCAAAGGAAUUGACGGGGGCCCGCACAAGCGGUGGAUCAUGUGGUUUAAUUCGAUGCAACGCGAAGAACCUUACCUGGGCUUGAAGUGCAGAUGACCGCUGUCGAAAGAUAGUUUUCCUUCGGGACAUCUGUAUAGGUGCUGCAUGGCUGUCGUCAGCUCGUGCCGUGAGGUGUUGGGUUAAGUCCCGCAACGAGCGCAACCCCUAUCUUUAGUUGCCAGCACGUAAUGGUGGGAACUCUAAAGAGACUGCCCGCGUAAGCGGAGAGGAAGGUGGGGACGACGUCAAGUCAUCAUGGCCCUUAUGUCCAGGGCUACACACGUGAUACAAUGGCAUACACAAAGGGCGAAGCCGCAAGGUGGAGGAAAUCCAUAAAGUAUGUCUCAGUUCGGAUUGAAGUCUGCAACUCGACUUCAUGAAGUUGGAAUCGCUAGUAAUCGU
rnacentral:rRNA from 1 species